GGACUACCGGGGUUUCUAAUCCCGUUCGCUCCCCUGGCUUUCGCGUCUCAGCGUCAGCAGACGUCCAGGAGCCCGCUUUCGCCACGGGCGUUCCUUCCGAUCUCAACGCAUUUCACCGCUCCACCGGAAGUUCCGGCUCCCCCUACGUCCCUCCAGGGCGGUCGUAUCGGCGCCGCUUCCCCGGUUGAGCCGGGGGCUUUCAACGGCCGACGUGCCGCCCCGCCUACACGCGCUUUAAGCCCAGUGAUUCCGAAUAACGUUCGCACGGUUCGUCUUACCGCGGCGGCUGGCAC
rnacentral:rRNA from 3 species